GCUGGGCAUCACCUACUGCAUCCCACAGGGGACACUGCGCUCACAUCGGAGGGAAGCGCGCGGCGGAUCCGCAGCCCCUAGGAAGAGAGCGAUUAGAACACUUCAGCCCGGGCACCUCUCCCCCACCCCGACGCAACGACACCUCGAGCACCGUGCGAACCGCACACACCGGGCAGAGCACAGCCUGCUGCUGCGGCCAUCCCUCCUCCUCCUCCCCCCGCUCCGGAGCGGACCUCCGCCCGGGCCGCGCACGCCGACCCCCGUCCCGGGGUCACGGUCCCCCCCAGCGGCAGCCCCGGGGCCGGGGCUGAGUGACAGCGCUGCCCGGCGUGGAGCAGCGCGGAGCCGGCUGCGUCCCGCUCAUCUGCAUGCACGGUGUUUUUCGUUGAGCCUCUUACUCAGCCUGAAGUGUUGGUUUGUUUGGCUGGUUUUUAAAUGCCUACCAUCGCAUCGAAGCGCCCCGAGCCAAACUACAUCCCUCCCGAACUCCCCAAACAGGCACGCAGCAUCCCUUCCUUCCCGUGUUUUAAAGGCGCAGCGGAGCCCGGAGGAGUUCCCGCGGCACCGACAGCGCUCCCGGCUCCGUCCCCAGCGCACCGCGCAUCACACCCCGAACACACACACAUAUACGUACGCUGCUCCGGCCGCGGCGAGCCAAGACGCUCCAGCUCCCGGCGCAGCCCCACCUCCGAGUGGGCAAAGCAGGCGGCUUUAGCAGCGAU
rnacentral:lncRNA from 1 species